UACGGGGGGGGCAAGCGUUGUUCGGAAUUACUGGGCGUAAAGGGCUCGUAGGCGGCCAACUAAGUCAGGCGUGAAAUCCCUCGGCUUAACCGGGGAACUGCGUCUGAUACUGGAUGGCUUGAGUUUGGGAGAGGGAUGCGGAAUUCCAGGUGUAGCGGUGAAAUGCGCAGAUAUCAGGAGGAACACCGGUGGCGAAGGCGGCAUCCUGGACCGGUAUUGACGCUGAGGCGCGAAAGCCAGGGGAGCAAACGGG
rnacentral:rRNA from 1 species